rnacentral:tRNA from 1 species
GUCUGGGUGGCUCGGUCGGUUAAGCACCUGACUUCGGCUCAGGUCAUGAUCUUGCGGUUUGUGGGUUCAAACCCUGCGUCAGGCU